UAUCAGACAUGCGCAGCCGCAGAUCUGCCCUGCCUACUUUCGCGCUCUUUCCAACACCUUUCUCAUUUAUUUUCGCCAUUGUGGGUUUAUUUGUCCUCAGCACACUGAUUUGGCUGAAGCAAAUGGUCAGAAGUCCACACAUACCUCAGUCUCUGCAAUUACAGGUCAACCAGAGCAGUAUUCUCUAAUGCAGUGGACUUGUAAGUACUGCACAUUUUCUGCUGGAAAGAGAGGCUACUUGCUUAAGCAUUACCGCUUAAAACAUGGAUACCACACUCGGACAUCCCUACUCCCCAUGUCUUCAUAAGGACUGCCUCUGCACAUUUAAAUCUUUUAAUGCACUCAAAGUA